GUGUUGUAUGAAAGGAAAGAGGGUUAGUACUCCCCUUGACAAGGCUGAAGAGACCCUUGGGGCUGACAACACACGUACAGUUAAGGAGAGCCACUGCCUGGUGGCCACUGAAGCCCUGCUGAUUUCU
ensembl:snRNA